AUUGAACGCUGGCGGCAUGCCUUACACAUGCAAGUCGAACGGUAACAGGUUAAGCUGACGAGUGGCGAACGGGUGAGUAAUGUAUCGGAACGUGCCCAAUAGUGGGGGAUAGCCCGGCGAAAGCCGGAUUAAUACCGCAUGAGACCUGAGGGUGAAAGCGGGGGAUCGCAAGACCUCGCGCUGUUGGAGCGGCCGAUAUCAGAUUAGGUAGUUGGUGGGGUAAAGGCCUACCAAGCCUGCGAUCUGUAGCUGGUCUGAGAGGAUGGCCAGCCACACUGGGACUGAGACCCGGCCCAGACUCCUACGGGAGGCAGCAGUGGGGAAUUUUGGACAAUGGGCGCAAGCCUGAUCCAGCCAUGCCGCGUGCGGGAAGAAGGCCUUCGGGUUGUAAACCGCUUUUGUCAGGGAAGAAAUCUUCUGGGUUAAUACCUCGGGAGGAUGACGGUACCUGAAGAAUAAGCACCGGCUAACUACGUGCCAGCCGCCGCAGUAACAC
rnacentral:rRNA from 1 species